AGGCUUAUAGUUCAAUGGUUAGAACGUCUCGCUCAUAACGAGAAUGUUAUAGGUUCGAUUCCUAUUAAGCCUA
rnacentral:tRNA from 1 species